UACGGAGGGUGCAAGCGUUAUCCGGAUUCACUGGGUUUAAAGGGUGCGUAGGUGGGCAGGUAAGUCAGUGGUGAAAUCUCCGGGCUUAACCCGGAAACUGCCAUUGAUACUAUCUGUCUUGAAUACCGUGGAGGUGAGCGGAAUAUGUCAUGUAGCGGUGAAAUGCUUAGAUAUGACAUAGAACACCAAUUGCGAAGGCAGCUCACUACACGAAUUAUUGACACUGAGGCACGAAAGCGUGGGGAUAAACAGGAUUAGAUACCCGGAGUAAGC
rnacentral:rRNA from 1 species